ACAGCAGCCGCCGCGGGAAUACAGAGGGUGCGAGCGUUAAUCGGAUUUACUGGGCGUAAAGCGUGCGUAGGCGGCUUCUUAAGUCGGAUGUGAAAUCCCUGAGCUUAACUUAGGAAUUGCAUUCGAUACUGGGAAGCUAUAGUAUGGGAGAGGAUGGUAGAAUUCCAGGUGUAGCGGUGAAAUGCGUAGAGAUCUGGAGGAAUACCGAUGGCGAAGGCAGCCAUCUGGCCUAAUACUGACGCUGAGGUACGAAAGCAUGGGGAGCAAACAGGAUUAGAUACCCCCGUAGUCCCUGUCUCUUAUAC
rnacentral:rRNA from 1 species